GCUACCUCUUUAGAGACUGCCAGACCCUCUCUGAAGAUGACAGGCCAAACUCAGAGGAGCCAGAGAGUCAUUCAUCAGAUGAAGAGGUGACUAGCCACAAAUAUCCAUCAAUUACUUGCCAUGUGCAAGGAAUGCUAUGUUGAUGUUGUGGAGGACGGGAAGGUUAUCAUGACACAGCUUUGUGAUGAGAAACAAAAAGGAUGUUGGAAG
rnacentral:lncRNA from 1 species